GGGUUCUGAGACUCCCUGUCCCGGACCGCAGAUUAUAGUGGGACCAGUCUCAUUAGGUUGAAUCUACAGCCUUUGUUGGUGUUAACCCAGGUCUCUUAGAGUGUUAAAAGGAUCUGAACAAAGUCUGCUCAAAUCUCCUGCUGUGAACCAGCAGAAUUUUUGAACAGAGACUGUCUCGCUCUGUCACCCAGGCUAGAGUGCAGUGGUGCUAUCAUAACUCACUGGAGCCCUGAUCUAGGCUCAAACCAUCCUCCCGCCUCAGCCUCUCAAGUAGCUGGGACUAAGAUGCUGCUUGAAUCUGGGGCUUCGUUUAUAUUUCAAGACUGCUGCCUGUAGGGGCUCCAUCUGUAUCAUUUGUGUUAAUAGUGACCCUGGAGUUUUGUACUUCCAGAACCUAUGUUUCUUCACAUAUAAAAAUCUAUUGUAAAAAUACGGAAAAGAAUGGCAGCGGAAACGCAGACACUGAACUUUGGGCCUGAAUGAUAUGUUUGGACCCCGAAUAUGGAAUUCUCAUGGAAUUUUGAGAUCCAUCACAUUGUAGUGUGGCUUCCCCCCCCCCCUUCCUUUUUCCCCAAAGUUGGUGAUUGAAGAACCUCUCUUCAGUGGCAUCAAUAAUAAUAAUUACUUUUUCUAUUCAAACCUCGGGCAACCCCUUUGGUAAUAUCAGAAGCAGUAUCUAAAAUAGAUAAAUUGGAUUUGUGUCUUAAACUCUUGGUUGUUCAGGUGGGAGUGGUUCAAUAAAUGAUGCAGACUUCCCGUAGUAACUCUAUUUGAGGAGUCUUAUUAACUUACCCUAUUAGAAAUAUUUCUUUUUAUUAAUAUAUGUAAUCUGGAAGUUUUCUUAACCUUUAUAGCCAGCAUUUGGAGACUGAGGAGAAAUCACUAUUUGAAGUUCUAAGAACUGAUGGAACUCCUGUAUUUUGAGAGUUUAUUUAGAACAUGUUAACCUAAGUAAUGCUGUACUUGUUUUAGUUAUUCCUUUAUAUUUUUUAAAUGAUUUUCUUAUUAUCAAAUUAAUAUGUUUCUAAAAAAAUUAGAAAUUACUAGUAAGCCAGAAAUAAUUUCAACAUCCAUGGUACACACUGUAAAUACCUUGGUGUAUCUUUCCAGGUGGUUUUAUGUAUGCUUAUUUGUGUAUAUAUACAUUUAUUUUUUACAAAAAUGGGAUCAUACUGUACCUUCAGUUUUGUAGCCUGCUUAAAGAAAUAACCAAAUCAGAAACAUCUUUUUUUAAUCAAUAAAUAUUUUCUGUUGUAU
rnacentral:sRNA from 1 species